rnacentral:lncRNA from 1 species
CACUUGGUGGUGCGCAACUGCCUGCAGCCGCAGGCCCGGUUGCUGAAGGAGUUGAGCGACUACCUGACCAACCUGCACAGUCUGGGGACCCGGAGCGAGGGCCUGGUCAACCUCCUCUUCAGCAAGCUCAGCCUGCACGAUGGGGGCAAGGAGAACUGAGCGUGGACUGUCCCGGGCCGGGCCCAGGGCUCCCCCUGGUCUCCAGGCAGGCCACGCGCUCCUCCAUCACUGCUUUCAUGUCCCUUCUUUGUUGCACUGUUGCUUCCAAUAUAAAGUUACUUGGUUCUUAACGAAAAAAGAAAAAAAGAAGUCUUGCUCCGCAACUUGUUAAAAACUUGGGUAUGGUAAAAAAUAAUAUGGUGAAUGCUGCUGUCCAGUGUAUCCAAUGGAAAGGAUGGAUCAUAAAACCAUGGCAGUGUUUCCUCAUUGGCUUUAUUCAUCUGAUCAGAUACCAUGUGACUUCUGGCUCUUCCUCCAAGUCAAAAUGACCCUGAAAUGUAUGGAGCCAAAGAAGAUGGAACAUAUUCUUAGGUGAACAAUUGAAAAAUUUUUUAAAGUAGCUCAAUUUUUCACCCUAAUCUCUGUUGAGAUCUACAUCACCCACACUCUCCUCAUGUAGAAUAUUCUAUUAUUCCCACUUUUCUACUUACCCAAAAACUGAGCUCAAAUUUCACUUCCUCAAGGAAACUUUCCAG